UCUGCUAAGCUAUAAAUUAUUUACCUGCAGUGCUAGCUUGAAUACAGCUGGAAAUAACAUCUGCAGCACAGUGGAACCGUGUUCCAGGAGCAACCAACACCGACAAAACACAGGCUGAGGAUGCUGAGCGAAAAGCCUUGACUAGAGCAAGCUGAAGCCCUCAGUAUGGUUUGUCCUGCUGUUGGCAGCUCCACGAGCAAGUUUGGGUAGGAGACAUAACAACACCAGCGGGAAGAGGAAGUGAUAGAUUCUUUGUUCUGUUUAUACUUCCACUGCCACUUCACUGAAGAAGCCACAGCCUCAAGAUAAACAUAGCUCUUCUAGAAAGUGUAGCGGCAUGGAGCAAUGUGGAAAAGGAAAAGUGCCACAUGGCUACACCUGAGAGGACCCGCUAAUGGCCUGCUCUGAAGACAACAUUCCCAUCACCUGUGGAAAAUCAGAGCCGGUUGGUUUUAUAAGGGUGAAACAAACCAGGGGAAAAAGAUCAAAUCCAUUCUCCGCAGAGCUGGGAGCCAGAGGAAGGGGCUUCAGUGAUGCCACCCCUCUAAGAACUACUCCAGCCUCUGAGUUAAAACAGCAGCUACAGCCCCUCUGUGCCCCCUGUGCAAAGUAUUAAGGAAACUAGUUAUAAGUAACUAAGAUCAUUUGGCCCCGCUGCAUGACCUGCCACCGUCACUGCAUUGCACAUUGGGCUGGGCUGGAGUUUUCAUACUCUUCAGGGGUGCAGUUACUCUGUCCAUCAAGCAACACUCCUGCAGGUCUGCAGUGUUGCCGAGGGCCUUGCCUAGGUCCCAAGUGCACAGGUAAAUCCUGUUCCAUGGCCAGGAGUUUGGAAUAGAAAAUCCUGAAAAGAUUUACCAGCCCCACCAUCGAACAUUCUGUGGACAUACCAAGGACUGUUCCGGCUGGUGUUUCUGGAUCCAAUUCUUCCCCCCUCACAAUAAAAUCGGAAUUCAUACCUGAGUGCGACUGGCAAUGCUCCCUCCUGCGUGCUCUCUUUCUUAAAGAAACAAUUCAUCUGAUUUUCUCCACGUAUUUAAGCCGUGUGGGUAGAUCUCUAAAAGGCUGGGAUAUAUGUUGUUGGCAUGAG